CCUACGGGCGGCAGCAGUGAGGAAUAUUGGUCAAUGGGCGAGAGCCUGAACCAGCCAAGUCGCGUGAGGGAGUACUGCCCUAUGGGUUGUAAACCUCUUUUGUCGGGGAGCAAAAGCCGGACGUGUCCGGCUGUGAGAGUACCCGAAGAAAAAGCAUCGGCCAACCCCGUGCCAGCAGCCGCGGUAAUCCGGAGGAUGCGAGCGUUAUCCGGAUUUAUUGGGUUUAAAGGGUGCGCAGGCGGACUUUUAAGUCAGCGGUAAAAUCGUGGGGCUCAACCCCAUCCAGCCGUUGAAACUGGGGAUCUAGAGUGUGCGAGAGGUAUGCGGAAUGCGUGGUGUAGCGGUGAAAUGCAUAGAUAUCACGCAGAACCCCGAUUGCGAAGGCAGCAUACCGGUGCAAAACUGACGCUCAGGCACGAAAGCGUGGGUAUCGAACAGGAUUAGAUACCCGAGUAGUC
rnacentral:rRNA from 1 species